AACGAACGCUGGCGGCAUGCCUAACACAUGCAAGUCGAACGAGACCUUCGGGUCUAGUGGCGCACGGGUGCGUAACGCGUGGGAACCUGCCCUUAGGUUCGGAAUAACUCACCGAAGGGGGUGCUAAUACCGGAUAAUGUCUUCGGACCAAAGAUUUAUCGCCUUUGGAUGGGCCCGCGUGGGAUUAGCUAGUUGGUAGGGUAAAAGCCUACCAAGGCGACGAUCCUUAGCUGGUCUGAGAGGAUGAUCAGCCACACUGGGACUGAGACACGGCCCAGACUCCUACGGGAGGCAGCAGUGGGUAAUAUUGGACAAUGGGCGAAGGCCUGAUCCAGCAAUGCCGCGUGAGUGAUGAUGGCCGUAGGGUUGUACAGCUCUUUUACCCGCGAUGAUAAUGACAGUACCGGGAGAAUAAGCACCGGCUAACUCCGUG
rnacentral:rRNA from 1 species